UACCGAGGGGGCAAGCGUUGUUCGGAAUUACUGGGCGUAAAGGGCGCGUAGGCGGCCUGUUAAGUCGAACGUGAAAUCCCCGGGCUCAACCCGGGAACUGCGUCCGAAACUGGCAGGCUUGAAUCCGGGAGAGGGAUGCGGAAUUCCAGGUGUAGCGGUGAAAUGCGUAGAUAUCUGGAGGAACAUCGGUGGCGAAGGCGGCAUCCUGGACCGGUAUUGACGCUGAGGCGCGAAAGCCAGGGGAGCAAACGGG
rnacentral:rRNA from 1 species